rnacentral:tRNA from 1 species
GCAGGGUUAGCUCAGUUGGUUAGAACAUGGUGCUAAUAACACCAAGUUCACAGGUUCAAUCCCUGCUUACUGCA